rnacentral:misc_RNA from 1 species
UCUCCGUAGGUGAACCUGCGGAGGGAUCAUUACAGAGUUCUCGCCCUCGCGGGUAGAUCUCCCACCCACCGUUAUCGUUACUGUGUUGCUUUGGCGGGCCGCCGGGCCCCGCUCGGCCGCCGGCUCCGGCUGGCGCGCGCCCGCCAGAGGCCCAGCAAACUCUGAAUGUUAGUGUCGUCUGAGUACUACAUAAUAGUUAAAACUUUCAACAACGGAUCUCUUGGUUCUG